rnacentral:misc_RNA from 1 species
UUCAAAGUGCCUUCUUCUGUUGAUGCCAAAUCUCUUCUCAAAUGCCAAUUAGCAGUUGCAGCAUUUAACUGUGGUGGUGGGAAGUGUAGCAAUGCUACUGGUCUGCAGUUACCCGGUAUUUUGGAUGAUUUGUUUUCAUACGAUGGUCCACUUGGUGCAGAUUUUUCCACAGAUGCUGUAUCACUCCAUCUUUGGGCUCCCACUGCUCAAGCAGUUCAGGUUUGCAUUUAUAGGGAUCCAUUC